rnacentral:rRNA from 1 species
GACGGAGGAUGCAAGUGUUAUCCGGAAUCACUGGGCGUAAAGCGUCUGUAGGUGGUCAAAUAAGUCAACUGUUAAAUCUUGAGGCUCAACCUCAAAAUCGCAGUCGAAACUAUUAGACUAGAGUAUAGUAGGGGAAAAGGGAAUUUCCAGUGGAGCGGUGAAAUGCGUAGAGAUUGGAAAGAACACCGAUGGCGAAGGCACUUUACUGGGCUAUUACUAACACUCAGAGACGAAAGCUAGGGUAGCAAAUGGG